UACGUAGGGGGCAAGCGUUGUCCGGAUUUAUUGGGCGUAAAGAGCGUGUAGGCGGCCACACAGGUCUGCUGUGAAAUCUCGGGGCUCAACCCCGAGCGGUCGUGAGAAACUGGCAGGCUAGAGUGCGGGAGAGGAGAGUGGAAUUCCUGGUGUAGCGGUGAAAUGCGCAGAUAUCAGGAGGAACACCGGUGGCGAAGGCGGUUCUCUGGGCCUGUACUGACGCUGAGGAGCGAAAGCGUGGGGAGCGAACAGG
rnacentral:rRNA from 1 species